rnacentral:sRNA from 1 species
CCCAGCAAAGAGCAGCACACAGCUGAAAGAAAAACUCAGAAGACAGAGCUGAAAAAGAAAACUGGUGAUGGAUCUCAUUCCAAACUUUGCCAUGGAAACAUGGGUUCUCGUGGCUACCAGCCUGGUACUCCUCUAUAUCCUUUAGGUCCAAUGGGAUUUCUGAAAAGUGCCUUAAGUUUUGCUGAAGAUGAAGAAUGGAAGAGAAUACGAACAUUGCUAUCUCCAGCUUUCACCAGUGUAAAAUUCAAGGAAAUGGUCCCCAUCAUUUCCCAGUGUGGAGAUAUGUUGGUGAGAAGCCUGAGGCAGGAAGCAGAGAACAGCAAGUCCAUCAACUUGAAAGACACUCUUUCCAUUUCUUACCCCAGUUUUUGAAGCCCUAAAUAUCGGUUUGUUUCCAAAAGAUGUUACCCGUUUUUUAAAAAAUUCCAUUGAAAGGAUGAAAGAAAGUCGCCUCAAAGAUAAACAAAAGCACCGAGUAGAUUUCUUCCAACAGAUGAUUGACUCCCAGAAUUCCAAAGAAACAAAGUCCCAUAAAGCUCUGUCUGAUCUGGAGCUUGUGGCCCAGUCAAUUAUCAUCACUUUUGCUGCCUAUGACACAACUAGCACCACUCUCCCCUUCAUUAUGUAUGAACUGGCCACUCACCCUGAUGUCCAGCAGAAACUGCAGGAGGAGAUUGACGCAGUUUUACCCAAUAAGGCACCUGUCACCUAUGAUGCCCUGGUACAGAUGGAAUACCUUGACAUGGUGGUGAAUGAAACGCUCAGAUUAUUCCCAGUUGUUAGUAGAGUUACGACAGUCUGCAAGAAAGAUAUUGAAAUCAAUGGAGUCUUAAUUCCCAAAGGGUUAGCAGUGAUGGUUCCAAUCUAUGCUCUUCACCAUGACCCAAAGUACUGGACAGAGCCUGAGAAGUUCUGCCCUGAAAGAUCCCACUGAAAUUAGACAAUCUACCAAUUCUUCAACCAGAAAAACCUAUUGUUCUAAAAGUGCACUUAAGAGAUGGGAUUACAAGUGGACCCUGACUUUCCCUAAGAGCUUCCACUUUGUUCAAGAAAGCUGUAUCCCA